CAGGGAAGAGAGAAUAGGAUUGAAGGAUGUUUCAGCUCGGGGUUUAGGAAGAAGAGCUAGACCUUUAGAUUGAGAAAGGGGAAGAGCCUCUGAGCCGGGAGGGGGUGGGGUGGGGAGAGGGAGGAAAGGGGGGCCCCCGAGGGGAAGGGGAGGAGAGGCUGAAGUGGAAACCUGCGCUCAGUUUGCCUGAAAGAGGCUGGCACUCUUGGUCACCUCAAUGUAUUGCCCUUCCCCCCUUUGUGAAGCAUCCAUCCUCAGACUGACGCCUGGGCAAGGGACAUGUCACAAAGGGAGGCAGUGCUUGAAUGGCUGGGAGGGAGGCAAAUUGGGGUCCUGGGAACCUAAUCCAUAUGAUCCAAGGACCUGCAUACACUGUGUGUUUAUGAGGUCUCUGUCUUCGGGCAGUUUAGAGUUGGGAAGACUUCUAAGCUAGCACACCGGAAGAGACACUGAGAAUGAGGGUGGUCCUUCCUGUGACGUCACUCCUUGCCAAAUGACUUCGAUAUAGUUACCCCAGCAACUUUCGUGAGGUUGAUAAGGCCCCGAAGCCACCUCAGCACACAACUCCAAGAAAACUGGAAGAUAAUAAAUCUGGUCAUUUAAAAAAAUUA